rnacentral:lncRNA from 1 species
ACUGUGCUCCUGAUGACCCGGCAGCCGCCGCCCUGCAACCGCUCCCCGGGACCCGUCAGCGCUGACACUGAUGACCCGCGGCGGGGGCGCUGGGCGCGGGGUGCGCAGGCCACUGGCCGCGGGCCCUCGGACCCGCUCCUGCCGCCGGCUUCCGCUGCUUCCGCGGUAAUGACACUCGGCGGAGCGGCCGCCAUCUCUUCUGUGCUGUGGACACUGCCAGAAUUUGUCAAAGGUCCUAGGAAGAAAAGGCCCUUUCGCCCCUCACCUCAGUGAACAGAUGGUGUGUUUGGACUGUUCGCAUUCGCUCCUCAUAGGUGGGAUCCUGGAGGAAUUUAAGGGGUGCUCCGUUCCCUGGGGAUGGGACAGCAGCUCGCCUUUUUACUAAUAGCUAUAAGGGACUGUCAGACAUUUACCUGACUAGACCUUCACCUCAGAGCUCAGAAGGGGAACAGCUCCAGAACUAAAAGAGAGAGCCUCUGGCAGACCCCAAAAGACAGCAUGUGGAGUGAAGCUGGGCUUCCCUGCCCAAUCACUAGGAUCAUUUAUUGCACAAAUACCUGUAUUUUAAGCUGCAGAUUAUUGUGAAUUUUUGUAUUUUCUUCAUUUCCAUUUAGCUUUUUUUCAAUUUUAGAAUAACCUUUCUCUAGAUAACUCGAGGAAGCGGGAGACAGAAUUUCCUUUGUUUCUGUCUUGAGCCCAAAGGGACAAUUGAGUGUCAGAUAUGACAGGGAUAAAGGGAGAAACUCAGAAAGAAUGCUUUUGUUUUGUUUUGUUUUGUUUUGUUUUGAGAUGGAGUCUUGCUCUUGUCACCCAGGCUGGAGUGCAGUGGCAUGAUCUUGGCUCACUGCAAACUCCACCUCCUGGGUUCAAGCGAUUCUCCUCCUCAGCCUCCCAAGUAGAUGGGCUUACAAGCACGCGCCAUCACGCCCGGCUAAUUUUGUAUUUUUAGUAGAGAUGUGGUUUCACCAUAUUGGUCAGUCCGGUCUUGAACUCCUGA